AACGAACGCUGGCGGCAGGCCUCAAACAUGCAAGUCUAGGGGGUGCAGCAAUGCAUCACCGGCGGACGGGUGCGUAACGCGUGGGAAUAUACCUAUUGGUUCGGAACAACUGCGGGAAACUGCAGCUAAUACCGAAUGUGCCCGCAAGGGGAAAGAUUUAUCGCCAAUGGAUUAGCCCGCGUAGGAUUAGCUAGUUGGUGGGGUAACGGCCCACCAAGGCUCCGAUCCUUAGCNGUUCUGAGAGGAAGAUCAGCCACACUGGGACUGAGACACGGCCCAGACUCCUACGGGAGGCAGCAGUUGGGAAUCUUGGACAAUGGGGGAAACCCUGAUCCAGCCAUGCCGCGUGAGUGAUGAAGGCCUUC
rnacentral:rRNA from 1 species